UUGACACCGUAGACGACGUAGAACUCUCUCUCUCUCUUUCUCUGUGUGCACCUCUUGUAUAUGCAGGCAAAGCUCAGCCUCUACGCUCGCAUAACAUAUUUUUCUCUCUCUCUCUCUCUACUUUGUCUCUCUAAAAGCACGAAACCUCUCCUUCUUCUUCUUCAGAGACCGGACCGCCUCUUUCUUCUCUUUCCUAGAGUUUCUCUCUCUGAAAAAAGCUUUGAAUAAGAGGUUUGUCAGAAACAGAGAGAGAGAGAGAGAGAGAGAGAGAGAGAGAGAGAGAGAUAGUGAAAGAAAAGAGAGAGAGAGAGAGAGUUGCUGAAGUGUAUGUAGUUUUUUUUUUUUGACGAAGAAUGGCUACGGCACCGGUGAAGUCUCCGCUGCAUAACUUCCCCUUGCCAUUCUUAAAAUGGGGAGGAAAGAAUCACACAAACAACAACCACCGAUGCCGGCGGCCGAUAUCGGCCGAAUCCUCGCCCGUCGCCGACCACUGCGAGCAAGACACCGACAGGAACCAGUCGGAGGGAGAAGCGACAAGGCCGCACCGGGUCGAAUCGCGGGCGUUUCGGAACCGAUUCGCGUUCUCGUCGUGCUCUGCCGUUGAGAAAUCGCAGAAGCAACAGUCGGAGAGGGAGAGCAACGAGAGCGAAGAUGUCAGGGAUGGGAAGCAGCAGCAGCGAGAAGUUGAGGAAGCUGAGGCGGAGGACACGGUUCAGAAGCCGUGGAAUCUGAGACCAAGGAAAGGAUUGGCUUCGAAGGCUCCGAUUGUUUUGAAGAACGGGGAAUUGCAAGAAAUGGAGGGUCUCGGUGGUUCGAUGAGUGGUGGUCAGCAGCAUCAGCAUCAGAGUGAGGGUCACAAUCCACAGCCGAAAUCGCUGCGGCUACGGGGUUUCGCUGAGUCGCAGAGCACGGAGAAGAAGGAGAAGAGGAAGUUCUGGAUCGCACUUUCGAAGGAGGAGAUUGAAGAGGACAUAUUCGUGAUGACUGGGUCCAGACCUUCUCGGAGGCCUAAGAAGCGGCCCAAGAAUGUCCAGAAACAGCUUGACGGUGUUUUUCCUGGGUUAUGGUUGGUGGGGAUUACCGCUGAUGCUUAUCGGGUUGCCGAUACUCCGGCUAAGAGGUAGCCGAAAGGUUAAUUCUUGAAGCUUGCUUCGAUUGAUGGGGAUAUGCUCCUGUGACAUUGAGACCUCAAUUUGAGGCUUCCCUACAUCGUUGGGGGGCAGAGUUGCAUAUUUUGCAAAUCCUUAUCCGAUACAGGAUUAAUCACUGCUUGCUUCCUUGGAGCUCUUCUCCAUUCAAUUUGAUUCAUCAUGAUGAACCCCUGAUGAGGUUGAAAGUUUAUAUGUUUGAUACAUGUGUUCCUUGUUUAACUUUCUUUUCGUAUCUCACAUUAAUACUUCUGAACCUUUUGAAUUUUAUGAAAAAUUUAUUAAAUGUGGUUUAAAUGUUUUCACAAUAUUGUUCUUCCAUAAAUGGUGAAGUUUCAUACGUGCUGGCAUGUCAUAGUAGAUGAGUGAGUUUUUAGGUUUCUCUGUUUAGGCUUGCAUUUAAGUUUUCUGUUCAAAGUGGGCGUCGCAUCUAGUACCAGUGGUAAGUUUACGCUUUCCUGUUCUUCUUCAUGGGUAUAAAUGAUUUGAAGAAUCCUUAAAGUUUUGCCUUGUGUCAAGGAUUUUAUAAUAAGGAUUAAACUAGUUAUUCCUUGGCGGUUGUUUAAUCUGGAGCAUCGAUAUGAUACCUGGUUGACAAUAAAUUUGCAGAAAGUCCAGCUAGCCUGAUGAUACAAAUUAGUGGUUUUGACUUUUGAUGCCUGAGACUGUUCAAAUCUUGUAUUGAACUUGACUUGUAGAAAGGGGGAGAAAAGUCCCAACUUCAACUUCAUAAACACCGUUUCUUUCUUGGUUUUGUUUUCCAUAAUUGAAAAGUCUUGGUGGCCCAUUUUUUUUUUUUUUUAAUGUAUUUU